rnacentral:rRNA from 1 species
CGCGGCCUAUCAGCUUGUUGGUGCGGUGAGGGCGUACCAAGGCGAUGACGGGUAGCCGGCCUGAGAGGGUGAUCGGCCACACUGGGACUGAGACACGGCCCAGACCCCUACGGGAGGCAGCAGUGGGGAAUUUUGCGCAAUGGGCGGAAGCCUGACGCAGCGACGCCGUGUGGGGGAGGACGGCCUUCGGGUUGUAAACCUCUUUCGGCCCUGACGAAUGUGACGGUAGGGGCUAAAGAAGCGCCGGCUAACUACGUGCCAGCAGCCGCGGUAAUACGUAGGGCGCGAGCGUUGUCCGGAUUUACUGGGCGUAAAGGGCUCGUAGGCGGUUUGUCGCGUCGGUCGUGGAAAUGUCUGGCUUAACUGGGCACGUGCGGCUGAUACGGGCAGACUCGAGGGCGGUAGGGGCAAGCGGAAUUCCUGGUGUAGCGGUGAAAUGCGCAGAUAUCAGGAGGAACACCGAUGGCGAAGGCAGCUUGCUGGGCCGUUCCUGACGCUGAGGAGCGAAAGCGUGGGUAGCGAACAGGAUUAGAUACCCUGGUAGUCCAUGCUGUAAACGUUGGGCGCUAGGUGUGGGGACCAUUCUUGGUGUCCGUGCCGUAGCUAACGCAUUAAGCGCCCCGCCUGGGGAGUACGG